rnacentral:lncRNA from 1 species
AAAUGAAAGUCACCCAUAACCCUCUACCCAGAGAGGAAUAAAAAUUUUGUAUAUUUCCUUCUAGUCUUCUUAAUUAAUUUGUCAACAUAUUUAUUUACCUACUUACAAAGUAGGAUUGUAUUGUAUACACUGAUAGAAUCUUUUCUUUUCUUUUAAAGAUUUUAUUAGAGACACAGAAAGAGGCAGAGGGAGAAGCAGGCUCCCCACAGGGAGCCUGACACGGGACUCGAUCCCAGGACUCCAGGAUCACAACCUGAACCAAAGGCAGACGCUCAACCACUGAUCCACCCAGGCUCCCCUAGAAUCUUUUCUAAAAACUUUAUGGGGUGGACAAUUUCUCUCCAGUCUCAAAGAAUGGAUUUUAUCUACUACACAGCAAUACAUCAUAUGCCACGGUUUAUUUGAUCCCUUUUUCUACUCUUGGACAUUUCGGUUGCUUCCCACAUUGGGGGCUUUAUGAAUGUCUUUAAGGAAUGUCUUUUAAUAUUACCUUUAUAGGUCCUGGAACUAAACUCUGAGAUCUCAAAGAGACUGCAGUGUAGACCUAUAGAUUCAAGAAGAAAAAAAAAUACGCAGAAAACCAUUAUGACAAGUAACAUCAUCGUAGAGCAAAGAACUAGAAGGUGUCAGGGGAAAGUGAAACGAAUGUAAGUUGGUGGGAUCCGGUAAGGUUUCACUGAAAAAAACGAUAUUGCAUUUGGAACAGGGGCCAACAAAUCUUUUCCUCUAAGGAGCCAGAUAACAAAUAGUUUAGAUUUUGCACACCAGGUGGUCUCUGUUGUAACUACUCAAGGGUGUCACCACAGCACAAAACCAGACAAAGAUGAUUCAGAAAUGAAGGGGUGAGUUUAUGUUCCAAUAAAACUUUAUUUACAAAAAUAGGUAAUGGACUGAAGCAUUUGGUCCAUAGGCUGUCAUUUGCCAACCCUUGAUUUCGAACGCCAAAAACAGAGAUGGCUAUUGUGAGGGCCUUCUCAGAGGGAGGACAGUUCAGCUGGAAGGAAUUGAGAGAGCCAAAAUAUAGGAAGAAAAUUCAGGGGGUAAGGAGAGCUAGGUGUUUAAUGGUUGGGCAGGACAGGUGGGAGCUGGACUCAUACAGGGUCUGAAUGCCAGGCUGAAGUCUAUGGAUUUUGUUGUGUAGCAGAUAGAGAAUCCAUUUUCAUGGCAUCAUUGUAAAGUAUUGGGCACCCAUAAAGCUCCCAGGAUGGCAGCUGUCUCUGAGAAACUAUGGGACGGAUUCCAAACCUAGAAAUGCUGAUUUUGGCUUCAUCUCUAUUUGCUUUUCUGUUUUCUUGCUUACCUCCUUUAACCUUUCAGGAUUCGCCCCAUUUCAGCACAUCCAGAGGCCAGAAGGCACUCUGCUGGAAGAAACAGGAGUGGGACAGAAGAAGGGGAAGAAGUUCUUGGUUGGCUGCUUCUUCACUGGACUUUGAAUCUUAGUGCAUGUGAUGGAGCUCAAGGGAGAGCAGCUGGCCCCCCAGGUAUGUGAAGUCAGCUGACCUGCAGUCUGCAGUACAGACCUCCUUCUGGGUCUGCAUCUCACCAUCUGGACUGUCUACACAUCGAGCCUAUAUAUGGUCUUUGGUUCUUGCUCCUCCCACAACAAUCACCUUGUCUAAGACACAGGCUCUCAGGAGUAAUCUCACCAUGGGCAGCACCACAUCCCUUGGGAACUUAUUAGAAAUGCAAAGUCUCAGGCUCUACCUCGGACCUACUGAAUCAGAAACUCUGGGGGUGGGUGUGUGCGAACAAGCCAUCCGGGUUUUAACAAGCCCUCCAGGUGAUUGUGAUCCACAGGCUGAGAGUCACUGCCUUGGAUCCCUGUACCCCCAGAAGGGCCCCAUGUCAGGGGGCUAGGCAUGUGCUACUGAGCAUGAUAGGCAAUGCAAGCCUUCUAAUAAUCCUAAGAUGCCAUUACUAUUGCCUUUUGAAAGAUGCAAACACCGGGGUUCUGAUAUGUUAAGAAAUUUGAUCUGACCCUGGCUCUUAUUUCAAAGCCCGUGCUAUUGACCACCUUGGUCUAGUGUUCUCUCCUUGCAGAGAGGGCUAGGAGGUCUUCAGGAGAGCAUUUCUCCAAAGGCUGCCACAAUUUAUUUGCUUAAUAAACAUUCAUUGACCACCUCUCCUGCGCCAGAUCAUAUAGAGUAUAACAUAUACUGUGAAACACCAUUCUAACUUAAACCUUAGGAGUAGGCACCUUGCCUCAGCACUUACAGAGCUGGAAACACUGGUCUGGGAAGACAGUGUGACUUGUUUCAGAGCUACUGUAGCACCUCACAGAGGAUGCACUGCUGGCUCUAGUAAGCAGGGGGUGGCUUUAUAAAGGAGGGAGAAGCUACACCCAGAAAGUCCAUGGUGUGUACACGAGAGGGCAAAGUUGCUCAGGCCGAGUGAGCUGCAGUGUGGGAACCCGGGGCUCCAGCAGCUAUGGCCCCGUACUGACUGUGGGCCUCACACCCCCUUCCAAAACCUCCCAGGGUUCAGACCCAGAUAACAGAAGUAAUAGAAAGUGCCCUCUCCAGAGGCCCAACUUCUGAGCUCCACCUCUUCCACUGAAUUGGCUGUGCAGCCUUGAGCGAGUCACUUGCCCUUUUUGAGACUCUGUUUCCCCACUGGUAUAAGACUUAAGAAGUCGAUUUCAAACAAUUUUUAAGUUGCAAAUGUCUUUAUUUUUUUUAAAGAUUUUAUUCAUUUAUUCAUGAGAGACACAGAGAGAGGGGCAAAAACAUAGGCAGAGGGAGAAGCAGGCUCCCUGUGGGGAGCUGAUCCCAGGACCCUGGGAUCCCCACCUGAGCCAAAGGCAGACGCUCAAUCACUGAGCAACCCAGGCGCCCCACAAAUGUCUUUAUUUAAAUAAUAUCUUACACCAAACCCCAAUACAUGGAAUAUUUUUUAAAUAUAGUUGUUCUGGUUGAUUGUGGGAAGUGGGGGGAAGAGCUGGCCACCAUAAACCCCUCCCCCAAGCCCUGGCAGCACUUGUAGCUUACAGAGAAGUCACAGGAGCCCACCCAU